rnacentral:rRNA from 1 species
UCCGUAGGCGGUGUGGCAAGUCGGUAGUGAAAUCUCUCGGCUUAACUGAGAGGCUGCUGCCGAAACUGCCAUGCUCGAGUGCGAGAGAGGCGAGUGGAAUUGCGGGUGUAGCGGUGAAAUGCGUAGAUAUCCGCAGGAACAUCCGAGGCGAAAGCGGCUCGCUGGAUCGCAACUGACGCUGAGGGACGAAAGCUAGGGGAGCAAACAGGAUUAGAUACCCUGGUAGCCCUAGCCCUAAACCAUCAGGACUUGGGGUUUGCCCUGUACGGGGCAAGUCCCGGAGCUAACGCGUUAAGUCCUGCGCCUGGGGAGUACGGUCGCAAGGCUGAA